rnacentral:rRNA from 1 species
CGUGGGGGUGAUCUGCCCCCUGCACUCUGGGGAUAAAAGCUUGGGAAACUGGGUCUAAUACCCGGAUAUGACCACAUGCCGCAUGGUGUGUGGUGGAAAAGAUUUUAUCGGGUGCAGGAUGGGCCCGCGGCCUAUCAGCUUGUUGGUGGGGUAAUGGCCUACCAAGGCGACGACGGGUAGCCGACCUGAGAGGGUGACCGGCCACACUGGGACUGAGACACGGCCCAGACUCCUACGGGAGGCAGCAGUGGGGAAUAUUGCACAAUGGGCGGAAGCCUGAUGCAGCGACGCCGCGUGAGGGAUGAAGGCCUUCGGGUUGUAAACCUCUUUCAGCAGGGACGAAGCGUGAGUGACGGUACCUGCAGAAGAAGCACCGGCUAACUACGUGC